GAUGAACGCUGGCGGCGUGCCUAAUACAUGCAAGUCGAGCGAACAGACGAGGAGCUUGCUCCUCUGACGUUAGCGGCGGACGGGUGAGUAACACGUGGAUAACCUACCUAUAAGACUGGGAUAACUUCGGGAAACCGGAGCUAAUACCGGAUAAUAUAUUGAACCGCAUGGUUCAAUAGUGAAAGACGGUUUUGCUGUCACUUAUAGAUGGAUCCGCGCCGCAUUAGCUAGUUGGUAAGGUAACGGCUUACCAAGGCAACGAUGCGUAGCCGACCUGAGAGGGGGGACGGCCCCACUUGAACUGAAGCCAGGUCCAAACUCCCAAGGGGGGGCACAGGAGGGAAACUUCCGGAAAGGGGGAAAACCUUACGGGGCAAACGCCGGGGGGGGAAGAAGGGUUUCGGAUCCGAAAACCCUGUUUUUAGGGAAAAAAAAAAUUGUAAGUAAAUAUGCACGGUUUGACGGGAACUAAACAGAAAAGCCCGGCCAACUACGUG
rnacentral:rRNA from 1 species